GAUGAAGAACGCAGCGAAAUGCGAUAAGUAAUGCGAAUUGCAGAAUUCCAGUGAGUCAUCGAAUCUUUGAACGCACAUUGCGCCCUUUGGUAUUCCGAAGGGCAUGCCUGUUCGAGCGUCAUUAUCACCCCUCAAGCCCUCGGCUUGGUGUUGGACGGUUUGGUGGAGGCCCCCUCGGGGGCUCCUGCCCCUCCCAAAGACAAUGACGGCGGCCUCGUUGGACCCCCGGUACACUGAGUUCUUCACGGGACACGUAUCGGACACAUGGGUUUACGGGACACGGUCUGCCUCCCCUCAGGGAGAAUCUUUCUAAGGUUGACCUCGGAUCAGGUAGGGAUACCCGCUGAACUUAAGCAUAUCAAUAAGCGGAAGA
rnacentral:misc_RNA from 1 species